rnacentral:rRNA from 1 species
GCCUCUGGGGCUCACUACUAACCCUGUGACAUACCUUAUGUUGCCUCGGCGGAUCAGCCCGCGCCCCGUAAAACGGGACGGCCCGCCAGAGGACCCAAACUCUAAUGUUUCUUAUUGUAACUUCUGAGUAAAACAAACAAAUAAAUCAAAACUUUCAACAACGGAUCUCUUGGUUCUGGCAUCGAUGAAGAACGCAGCAAAAUGCGAUAAGUAAUGUGAAUUGCAGAAUUCAGUGAAUCAUCGAAUCUUUGAACGCACAUUGCGCCCGCUGGUAUUCCGGCGGGCAUGCCUGUUCGAGCGUCAUUUCAACCCUCAAGCCCCCGGGUUUGGUGUUGGGGAUCGGCUCUGCCUUCUGGCGGUGCCGCCCCCGAAAUACAUUGGCGGUCUCGCUGCAGCCUCCAUUGCGUAGUAGCUAACACCUCGCAACUGGAACGCGGCGCGGCCAUGCCGUAAAACCCCAACUUCUGAAUGUUGACCUCGGAUCAGGUAGGAAUACCCGCUGAACUUAAGCAUAUCAUAGAGGGAGAGAAAA